rnacentral:rRNA from 1 species
UACACUCCUACGGGAGGCAGCAGUGGGGAAUUUUGGACAAUGGGCGAAAGCCUGAUCCAGCAAUGCCGCGUGAGUGAAGAAGGCCUUCGGGUUGUAAAGCUCUUUUGUCAGGGAAGAAACGGUGAGAGCUAAUAUCUCUUGCUAAUGACGGUACCUGAAGAAUAAGCACCGGCUAACUACGUGCCAGCAGCCGCGGUAAUACGUAGGGUGCAAGCGUUAAUCGGAAUUACUGGGCGUAAAGCGUGCGCAGGCGGUUUUGUAAGUCUGAUGUGAAAUCCCCGGGCUCAACCUGGGAAUUGCAUUGGAGACUGCAAGGCUAGAAUCUGGCAGAGGGGGGUAGAAUUCCACGUGUAGCAGUGAAAUGCGUAGAUAUGUGGAGGAACACCGAUGGCGAAGGCAGCCCCCUGGGUCAAGAUUGACGCUCAUGCACGAAAGCGUGGGGAGCAAACAGGAUUAGAUACCCCAGUAGUCCCAUGAU